rnacentral:rRNA from 1 species
UCCUGGCUCAGGAUGAACGCUAGCGACAGGCUAACACAUGCAAGUCGAGGGGCAGCAUAAAAGUAGCAAUACUUGGUGGCGACCGGCGCACGGGUGAGUAACGCGUAUGCAACCUACCUAUCAGAGGGGAAUAACCCGGCGAAAGUCGGACUAAUACCGCAUAAACAGGGGCACCGCAUGGUGAUAUUUGUUAAAGAAAUUCGCUGAUAGAUGGGCAUGCGUUCCAUUAGGUAGUUGGUGAGGUAACGGCUCACCAAGCCGACGAUGGAUAGGGGAACUGAGAGGUUGGUCCCCCACACUGGUACUGAGACACGGACCAGACUCCUACGGGAGGCAGCAGUGAGGAAUAUUGGUCAAUGGGCGGGAGCCUGAACCAGCCAAGUCGCGUGAAGGAAGAAGGAUCUAUGGUUCGUAAACUUCUUUUGCAGGGGAAUAAAGUGCAGGACGUGUCCUGUUUUGUAUGUACCCUGAGAAUAAGGAUCGGCUAACUCCGUGCCAGCCGCCGC